AUUGAACGCUGGCGGCAUGCCUUACACAUGCAAGUCGAACGGUAACAGGUCUUCGGAUGCUGACGAGUGGCGAACGGGUGAGUAAUACAUCGGAACGUGCCCGAUCGUGGGGGAUAACGAAGCGAAAGCUUUGCUAAUACCGCAUACGAUCUACGGAUGAAAGCAGGGGACCGCAAGGCCUUGCGCGAACGGAGCGGCCGAUGGCAGAUUAGGUAGUUGGUGGGAUAAAAGCUUACCAAGCCGACGAUCUGUAGCUGGUCUGAGAGGACGACCAGCCACACUGGGACUGAGACACGGUCCAGACUCCUACGGGAGGCAGCAGUGGGGAAUUUUGGACAAUGGGCGAAAGCCUGAUCCAGUCAUGCCGCGUGCAGGAUGAAGGCCUUCGGGUUGUAAACUGCUUUUGUACGGAACGAAAAGACUCUGGUUAAUACCUGGGGUCCAUGACGGUACCGUAAGAAUAAGCACCGGCUAACUACGUG
rnacentral:rRNA from 1 species